rnacentral:rRNA from 1 species
UACGGAGGGGGCAAGCGUUAUCCGGAUUUACUGGGUGUAAAGGGGGCGCAGACGACGAUGCAAGCCAGGAGUGAAAGCCCGGGGCCCAACCCCGGGACUGCUCUUGGAACUGCGUGGCUGGAGUGCAGGAGGGGCAGGCGGAAUUCCUGGUGUAGCGGUGAAAUGCAUAGAUAUCACGCAGAACUCCGAUUGCGAAGGCAGCAUACCGGCGCCCGACUGACGCUGAAGCACGAAAGCGUGGGUAUCGAACAGG